rnacentral:ncRNA from 1 species
GUUCUCUGGAGAGGGCGCGUCCUAGAUGGUCGGGCUGAGAGGCCGGAAGGUCGGGGAGACCGGAAGGCGACCUCCAAAACCUGAUCCGGACAAUGCCGGCGAAGGGAGCCCACCUCGCAGGUUUU